rnacentral:rRNA from 1 species
GACGAACGCUGGCGGCGUGCUUAACACAUGCAAGUCGAACGGAAAGGCCCUGCUUUUGUGGGGUGCUCGAGUGGCGAACGGGUGAGUAACACGUGAGUAACCUGCCCUUGACUUUGGGAUAACUUCAGGAAACUGGGGCUAAUACCGGAUAGGAGCUCCUGCUGCAUGGUGGGGGUUGGAAAGUUUCGGCGGUUGGGGAUGGACUCGCGGCUUAUCAGCUUGUUGGUGGGGUAGUGGCUUACCAAGGCUUUGACGGGUAGCCGGCCUGAGAGGGUGACCGGCCACAUUGGGACUGAGAUACGGCCCAGACUCCUACGGGAGGCAGCAGUGGGGAAUAUUGCACAAUGGGCGGAAGCCUGAUGCAGCAACGCCGCGUGCGGGAUGACGGCCUUCGGGCUGUGAACCGCUUUCGCCUGUGACGAAGCGUGAGUGACGGUAAUGGGUAAAGAAGCACCGGCUAACUACGUG